rnacentral:lncRNA from 9 species
CGCGUUCGCCACGGAGCCGAGGCCUGUCCCCGGCCUUGAGCGGCUCUGCCGGCGUGUGGGCGCCUGUCUGUCGGUCAGCGCGGGCCACUCAUUCCUCGACCGGCGGCGGGCCCGGGAGCCGAGCCCGGGGUUGCCGCGCCGGGUGCACGUCCAAGCGUUGGGCCUGUGGUUUCUUGGGCUGCGGUUUGCAGACGAGCUCAAGUGAGGCGGCCUAGCUGGCGAGCUGCCUCCGGUGAACGCGUUGGCUAGAAAGCCCGGGGCGCUGUUUCCCACCAAGCUGACUGUGUGCAGAAGUGGUUAAAUCACAUGCUCUUCACGAAGAACCUGCAAGCAGGGUCAGGGCUGACAUCGCCAGGGAAGAGCUUGCAAACCAGAGCAAAACUGCUAAGGUUGUCUGCGGUCCAGCCUCCACACCAGAGCUUGGCGGGUGCCCUCCUGUUGAUCCAGGUGCUCUGGGCCUGGGGACACGGGCCCUUCUGUCGCAGCACAGCCAGCAUGUGUGCACAGCGCACACAGUGAGCAUUAUUUCCCUGCCCGGGAGGAUCCUGCUGCUGCCCGGCGGGGAUGCCCAGGAGAAAGUGCGGCUCUGCUAAAAGGCUCUGUCCCUGAGUAAGAAGGACACAUGGAGGGAGUUCCCGUCGUGGCGCAGUGGUUAACGAAUCCGACUAGGAACCAUGAGGUUGCGGGUUCGGUCCCUGCCCUUGCUCAGUGGGUUAACGAUCCGGCGUUGCCGUGAGCUGUGGUGUAGGUUGCAGACGCGGCUCGGAUCCCGAGUUGCUGUGGCUCUGGCGUAGGCCCGGUGGCUACAGCUCCGAUUCAGCCCCUAGCCUGGGAACCUCCAUAUGCCGCGGGAGCGGCCCAAGAAAUAGCAACAACAACAACAACAACAACAAAAAAAGACAAAAAAGAUAAAAAAAAAAAAAAAAAAAAAAAAGAAGGACACAUGGAGCUGAGCUUCCCCACCCACACAGCUCCCAGGUAAGAAUUGGGUGAAGAGAAGCAAACAUGCUGUAUUCUAGGAGUUUCCCCUGCGGCUCAGUGGGUUAAGAACCUGACUGAUAUCCAUGAGGAUGCAGGUUCCAACCCUGGCCUCGCACAGUGGGUUAAAGGAUCCAUCGCAGCAGAAAGCUGUGGUGUAGGUAGGAUGAAGCUCGGACCUGGCGUUGCUGUGGCUGUGGUGUAGGCCAGCAGCUGCAGCUCCCAUUCAACCCCUAGCCUGGGAACCUCCACACGCUGCGGGUGCAGCCAUAGAAGGAAAAGAGAACAAAAAAACAAAACACAUUAUUUUGGAAGUUGGUGCAUUAUCAGGAC